rnacentral:misc_RNA from 1 species
CAAGUGACCCCCGGUCUAACCACCGGGAUGUUCAUAACCCUUUGUUGUCCGACUCUGUUGCCUCCGGGGCGACCCCUGCCUUCGGGCGGGGGCUCCGGGUGGACACUUCAAACUCUUGCGUAACUUUGCAGUCUGAGUAAACUUAAUUAAUAAAUUA